UGUGGCCACAUGACUUUGAAAUCGGUUCCCGUACGAUUACCGAAGUUAAGCAACAUCGAGCUUAGGUGGGACCUAGAUGGGUGACCAAUUGGGAAUAUCAGGGGCUGUAAG